AACGAACGCUGGCGGCAGGCUUAACACAUGCAAGUCGAACGGUAAGGCCCUUCGGGGUACACGAGUGGCGAACGGGUGAGUAACACGUGGGUGAUCUGCCCUGCACUUCGGGAUAAGCCUGGGAAACUGGGUCUAAUACCGGAUAGGACCACUGCCUGCAUGGGUGGGGGUGGAAAGCUUUUGCGGUGUGGGAUGGGCCCGCGGCCUAUCAGCUUGUUGGUGGGGUGAUGGCCUACCAAGGCGACGACGGGUAGCCGGCCUGAGAGGGUGACCGGCCACACUGGGACUGAGAUACGGCCCAGACUCCUACGGGAGGCAGCAGUGGGGAAUAUUGCACAAUGGGCGCAAGCCUGAUGCAGCGACGCCGCGUGAGGGAUGACGGCCUUCGGGUUGUAAACCUCUUUCAGCACCGACGAAGCGCAAGUGACGGUAGGUGCAGAAGAAGGACCGGCCAACUACGUGCCAGCAGCCGCCGUAA
rnacentral:rRNA from 1 species